rnacentral:rRNA from 1 species
AGCGAACGCUGGCGGCAGGCUUAACACAUGCAAGUCGAGCGCCCCGCAAGGGGAGCGGCAGCCGGGAGGGUAACACGUGGGGACAUACCUUUUGGUUCGGAACAACUGAGGGAAACUUCAGCUAAUACCGGAUAAGCCCUUACGGGGAAAGAUUUAUCGCCGAAGGAUUGGCCCGCGUCUGAUUAGCUAGUUGGUGAGGUAACGGCUCACCAAGGCGACGAUCAGUAGCUGGUCUGAGAGGAUGAUCAGCCUCACUGGGACUGAGACACGGCCCAGACUCCUACGGGAGGCAGCAGUGGGGAAUAUUGGACAAUGGGGGCAACCCUGAUCCAGCCAUGCCGCGUGAGUGAUGAAGGCCUUAGGGUUGUAAAGCUCUUUUGCCCGGGAAGAUAAUGACGGUACCGGGAGAAUAAGCCCCGGCUAACUUCGUG